GGGCCCGCACAAGCGGAGGAACAUGUGGUUUAAUUCGAUGAUACGCGAGGAACCUUACCCGGGCUAGAACGCAGGAGGAAUGUUGGGGAAACUCAACAGCCAGCAAUGGUCUCCUGCGAGGUGCUGCAUGGUUGUCGUCAGCUCGUGCCGUGAGGUGUCGGCUUAAGUGCCAUAACGAGCGCAACCCUUACCAUUAGUUGCCAGCGGGUAGAGCCGGGGACUCUAGUGGAACUGCCAGCGUAAGCUGUGAGGAAGGUGGGGAUGACGUCAAAUCAGCACGGCCCUUACGUCCGGGGCGACACACGUGUUACAAUGGAUGGUACAGAGGGCAGCUACCACGCGAGUGGANGUUUCGAAUCUUCAAAGCCAUUCUCAGUUCGGAUCGGAGUCUGCAACUCGACUCCGUGAAGCUGGAUUCGCUAGUAAUCGCGCAUCAGCCAUGGCGCGGUGAAUACG
rnacentral:rRNA from 1 species